rfam:Oryza meridionalis cultivar OR44 (W2112) chromosome 1, whole genome shotgun sequence.
AAAUAGACAAACAAUAGGUUUUCAUAUCUAAUAUUUGACCGUCCGUCUUAUUUAAAAAAAUUAUGAAAAAAAUUAAAAAGAUAAGUCACGCAUAAAGUAUUAAUCAUGUUUUAUCAUCUAGCAACAAUGAAAAUACUAAUUAUAAAAAAAAUCCAUAUAAGACGGACAGUCAAACGUUGGACACAAAAACAUAGGGUUUAUCUUUUU